UAGCAAUAUGGGUGUCCUUAGAUUCGUAUUCUAACGUAGAUCGCAUAUUUUAUAGAUUUUGAUCAUUCAGAGGCUCUACGUAAAGGGAAGACAUUAGUUUGAUUGUUCGUGGCACCCGCUCGGCAUUGAAAGUACGAUCCAGGCUCUAGUUCUACACCCCGUGGCUGAUACGUGAGGGUGACAUCUUUCAGUAAUUCAGGGUGAGCUACUUGGUCAUCCGUGGCCCCUGAAGGACCUCCUCUAUUUAUUUCUGUUUUUGUAUUCGACAGACAGUAUGUAGCCUUCGGGUAUUUUCAGACUUAUAUUCCAUACUAUGUUAGCGCUCUUGUACCCUUUGACCAGAUUUUGGGGUUGUCGUGACAUUUCUAGUUA